UACGUAGGGUGCGAGCGUUGUCCGGAAUUAUUGGGCGUAAAGAGCUCGUAGGCGGUGUGUCGCGUCGGCCGUGAAAACCUGCAGCUUAACUGUGGGCUUGCGGUCGAUACGGGCAGGCUAGAGUUCGGUAGGGGAGACUGGAAUUCCUGGUGUAGCGGUGAAAUGCGCAGAUAUCAGGAGGAACACCGGUGGCGAAGGCGGGUCUCUGGGCCGAUACUGACGCUGAGGAGCGAAAGCGUGGGGAGCGAACAGG
rnacentral:rRNA from 1 species